GACGAACGCUGGCGGCGUGCUUAACACAUGCAAGUCGAACGGAAAGGCCCUGCUUUUGUGGGGUGCUCGAGUGGCGAACGGGUGAGUAACACGUGAGUAACCUGCCCUUGACUUUGGGAUAACUUCAGGAAACUGGGGCUAAUACCGGAUAGGAGCUCCUGCUGCAUGGUGGGGGUUGGAAAGUUUCGGCGGUUGGGGAUGGACUCGCGGCUUAUCAGCUUGUUGGUGGGGUAGUGGCUUACCAAGGCUUUGACGGGUAGCCGGCCUGAGAGGGUGACCGGCCACAUUGGGACUGAGAUACGGCCCAGACUCCUACGGGAGGCAGCAGUGGGGAAUAUGACACAAUGGGCGGAAGCCUGAUGCAGCAACGCCGCGUGCGGGAUGACGGCCUUCGGGUUGUAAACCGCUUUCGCCUGUGACGAAGCGUGAGUGACGGUAAUGGGUAAAGAAGCACCGGCUAACUACGUG
rnacentral:rRNA from 1 species